rnacentral:rRNA from 1 species
AUUGAACGCUGGCGGAAUGCUUUACACAUGCAAGUCGAGCGGCAGCGCGGGGCAACCUGGCGGCGAGCGGCGAACGGGUGAGUAAUACAUCGGAACGUACCCAGUUGUGGGGGAUAGCCCGGCGAAAGCCGGAUUAAUACCGCAUACGACCUGAGGGUGAAAGGGGGGGAUCGCAAGACCUCUCGCAGUUGGAGCGGCCGAUGGCGGAUUAGCUAGUUGGUAGGGUAAAGGCCUACCAAGGCGACGAUCCGUAGCUGGUCUGAGAGGACGACCAGCCACACUGGAACUGAGACACGGUCCAGACUCCUACGGGAGGCAGCAGUGGGGAAUUUUGGACAAUGGGGGCAACCCUGAUCCAGCCAUUCCGCGUGAGUGAAGAAGGCCUCGGUGUAAAGCUCUUCGGUCAGGAACGAAACGGUAGAGGGCGUAAUACCCUUUAUCAAUGACGGUACCUGAGAAGAAGACACCGGCUAACUACGUGCCAGCAGCCG